rnacentral:lncRNA from 1 species
UUUCCGUGGAUAAAAUAGAUGAAAGUUUCGAGGGUGAGGAUAAGAACAUCACUACAGCUGAGGCUUCAACACAUGAUGAAAAAGAAGAGCAUGGAUCUUGGGACAGAGCAGAUGAUGGAAAUGAUAGCAAUUGUGACCUAACUGUGACUAACCAGGACAGCGCAAGGGAAGCAUUGAAGGUCCAAGAAGAUUUUGAAAAAAAAUUGCAGAGAAUUGAACCAGGAGACCCUGAAGAGUCAUCAACUGUUAUGGCUGCUGAAACUGAGGCAGGCAAUUUGAGUGACAAGAUUGAUGAUAUUACAAGCCAGGAAGAAGUUGUCACAGUCCAAAACAUUGAAGAAACCGUAGAGAAAGAAAAGAAAGAAGAGCGUGGACCUUUGGACAGAGCAGAUGAUGGAAAUGAUAGCAAUCCUGACUUAACCGUGACUAACCUGGACAGCGCAAGGGAAGCAUCGAAGGUCCAAGAAGAUUCUGAACAAGAAUUGCAGAGAAUUGAACCAGGAGAACCUGAAGAGUCAUCAACUGUAAUGGCUGCUGAAACUGAGGCGGGCACUUUGAGUGACAAGAUUGAUGAUGUUACAAGCCAGGAAGAAGUUGUCACAGUCCCAAACAUUGAAGAAACCGUAGAGAAAGAAAAGAAAGAAGAACAUGGAUCUUUGGACAAAGCAGGUGCAGGUAAUGAUAGCAAUCCUGACCUAACUGUUACUAACCAGGACAGCGCAAGGGAAGCAUCGAAGGUCCAAGAAGAUUCUGAACAAGAACUGCAGAGAAUUGAACCAGGACAACCUGAAGAGUCAUCAACUGUUAUGGCUGCUGAAACUGAGGCGGGCACUUUGAGUGACAAGAUUGAUGAUGUUACAAGCCAGGAAGAAGUUGUCACAGUCCAAAACAUUGAAGAAACCGUAGAGAAAGAAAAGAAAGAAGAGCGUGGACCUUUGGACAGAGCAGAUGAUGGAAAUGUUAGCAAUCCUGACUUAACCGUGACUAACCUGGACAGCGCAAGGGAAGCAUCGAAGGUCCAAGAAGAUUCUGAACAAGAAUUGCAGAGAAUUGAACCAGGAGAACCUGAAGAGUCAUCAACUGUAAUGGCUGCUGAAACUGAGGCGGGCACUUUGAGUGACAAGAUUGAUGAUGUUACGAGCCAGGAAGAAGUUUUCACCAUCCAAAACAUUGGAGAAACCGUAGAGAAAGAAAAGAAAGAAGAGCAUGGACCUUUGGACAGAGCAGAUGAAGGAAAUGAUAGCAAUCCUGACUUAACCGUGACUAACCUGGACAGCGCAAGGGAAGCAUUGAAGGUCCAAGAAGAUUCUGAACAAGAAGUGCAGAGAAUUGAACCAGGAGAACCUGAAGAGUCAUCAACUGUUAUGGCUGCUGAAACUGAGGCGGGCACUUUGAGUGACAAGAUUGAUGAUGUUACAAGUCAGGAAGAAGUUGUCACAGUCCCAAACAUUGACGAAACCGUAGAGAAAGAAAAGAAAGAAGAGCAUGGAUCUUUGGACAGAGCAGGUGAAGGUAAUGAUAGCAAUCCUGACCUAACUGUUACUAACCUGGACAGCGCAAGGGAAGCAUCGAAGGUCCAAGAAGAUUCUGAACAAGAAGUGCAGAGAAUUGAACCAGGAGAACCUGAAGAGUCAUCAACUGUUAUGGCUGCUGAAACUGAGGCGGGCACUUUGAGUGACAAGAUUGAUGAUAUUCCAAGCCAGGAAGAAGAUGUCACCAUCCAAAACAUUGAAGAAACCAUUGAGAAAGAAAAGAAAGAAGGAAGUGAAGAU